UGGGAAGUGAAGGGUUAACCAGGCCGGAGUCUGAAGCCGGGAGCUGGGACCUGCCGGGACCUCCCCUCCGUUGCUGAGCAACAGGUGCCUUUUCUGUGCAGUGACUCAGACGGGAGUGGGGUUUGUGAGUGGGCUCCAGCCACACACGACUUCGUGCCUGUGACGUUGGCUCCUCCAUCCGCCUCUUUCCUGGAGUGCAGCCUGAGUCACAGCUCGAAACUUCUCCCACCUUCUCCGGGUGGAGGGGGCUUCCCCAGUCUUGGGGUGCGCACCUCAGGCAACGACCCAUCCCUCACUCCCCUGUGCUGGGACUGCAUGGGAAGCUGGACUACACUCCUCAGCCUCCCUUGAAGUUGCAGUGAACUUAUGAUGGUUUGUUCUAACCACCGUAAUGUGAGUAAAAGUUAUGUUAUGUGCACUUUCUAGGCUAAGACUUCCCCUUUCCCUUAAAAAAAAUCAAUGUUAUCAACACAGAAUUUACAUACAAUGAAAAGCACCCUUUGAAAAUGUACAACUUGUAUAUCCCCAAUACCAGCUUGAUGAAUACCACUACUAGCACAAUCAACCUAUUGAACAUUUCCGUGACCCCAAAGGGCUUUCUCUUGCUUCACUGUAAUAAAUCCCUCCCACCCACAGGUGACUGCCUGAUCCACUGUAUGUUAUCGUAGAUUAGAUUUGCACAUUCACGGAUUUCAUAUACAUAAAAUCAUACAACAUGAAGUGGUCUGGGCUGGCUACUUUCGCUUCACAUGUUUUAAAAUGCAUUCAUGUUGUUGUGUAUAUCUGUGGUUUUUACCUUUUUAGGCUGGGAUUACAGGCACCCGCCACCACGUCCAGCUAAUUUUUGUAUUUUUAGUAGAGAUGGGGUCUUGCCAUGUUGGCCAGGCUGGUCUUGAACUCCCGACCUCAGGCGAUCUGCUCACCUCAGCCUCCCAAAGUGCUGGGAUUACAGGCAUAAGCCACCAUGCCUGGCCUCUUUGUGGUUUUAAUUUGCAUUUCCUUGAUGACUGAUGAUGUCAAACAUCCUUUCAUGCACAUCUCCUUUUGUGAGUGUCUUAAAAUCUUUUGCCACUGAAUUUGGGGGGGGGUCUUAUUGAAUU
rnacentral:lncRNA from 10 species